GGCCUCAACCCUGGGCUCAAGCAAUCCUUCCAUCUCAGCCUCCCAAGUAGCUAGGACUACAGGUGCGUGCCACCAUGCCCGGCUAAUUGAAAAAUUUUUUUUUUGUAGAGAUGGAGUUUCGCUGUGUUGCCCAGGCUGGUCUUGAACUUCUGAGUUCCAGUGAUCCUCCCAUCUUGCCUCCCAAAGUGCUGGGAUUACAGGGUCUCACUUUAUUGCCCAGACUGGAGUGCAAUGGCAUGAUCUCGGCUCACUGUAACCUCUGCUUCCCAGGUUCAAGCAAUGCUCCUGCCUCAGCCUCCAAGUAGCUGGGACUACAGGCACGUGCCACUACACCUGGCUAAUUUUUGUAGAGAUGGGGUUUCACCAUGUUGCCCAGGCUGGUCUUGAACUCCUGAGCUCAAGUGACACACUCACCUCGGCUUCCCAAAGUGCUGGGAUUAUAAGCAUGAACCACCAUGCCCGGCCAAGUAAUCCAUUUUUAUCUGCCAUCUCUGUCCAUUGAUUUGUGGUGCCUGCAUUUACUGUAUUUUUGUGUCUAACUUGUCUCAUAGCCCUCACCGUCCCAUUCCAUCCUGUUGUCUUUCCUGGAAUGUUUUCUUUCUUCCACUGACAGCUGAAGGUGUUUUCUGACUGAAUUCCUGACACUAUGCUUCCUCUCUUCUAUGUCCUGUUCUUAAGGAAUCGUGCCCUGAAGUCCUUCUGCUGACGCAUAUGCAGAUGCUGCUCGGAGCCUUCAGUCUCACCUCUCCGUUCACAAUGCCUGCCCCUACUGCGGGGCUGCUUCAAUUGGCUGUCCUAUUUACACUUACAUGUCGCAUUAAAAUAAUCAUUUCUCUAUUAAUUUCUCCAUAUACAUUUCCUUCUAACAUUUCCAAUUAUUGUUUCCCUUCAAUUCCCCCAGGCUUGCCACCUUGGAGUGCCAAUACCUAGAUUCCCUGAGCACCCCCAAGGCCACCAAGGAGUACCCACUUCCAUCAACAUCUGGAGACAAACACUGUGCCCUGAAAGCUCCGAUUGCCAAACCAGAGACAAAGGAGAAGCCACCCGCUCCUUUCUAAUACUUUGUCAGAUCCAGAAAGUAGUCUCAGCUGGGCAUGGUGGCUCACGCCUGUAAUCCCAACAGUUUGAGAGGCCAAGAUGAGAGAAUCACUUGGGCCCAGGAAUUCGAGACCGACCUGGGCAACAUAGUGAGACCCCAUCUCUACAAAAACCAAACAGACUUAGUCGGGUGUGAUGGCAUGUGCCUGUGGUUCAGGCUAGUUGGGAGGCUGAGGUGGGAGGAUCGCUUGAACCCGGGAGGUGGAGGUUGCAAUGGGCUGUGAUUGCGCCACUGCAGUCCAGCUUGGCUGACAGAGCGAGACUCUGUUUCAAAAAAAAAAAAAAAAAAGAAUAUAUAUUAUCCUCUGUGUGUGUAUUUACACGCUUGGGCUGUAAAGUCACCUCAUGGCUUCCCAGAGUGACUUCAUUCUGUUGGUCAGUUUAUUGGAACCUGCCACUUCUCAGAUCCCUGUCUGAGGUCCCUCGAUCUACUGGAGAGCAGA